GGCGGCGUAGCCAAGUGGUAAGGCGAGGGUCUGCAAAACCCUUAUUCAUCGGUUCGAUUCCGAUCGCCGCCU
rnacentral:tRNA from 1 species